CCGCCGCUGCCUUUUUAUUUGAGCAACCAAAAAAAAAGAAAAAAAAAAGAAAGAGAAAUAGAAUAGAAAUGGACUGAGGAGGAGGAGGCUGGGAAAUGAUGUGGAGUUGGAAGCAGAGAAAUAGAAGACGACGAGGAAAUCCAUGCCUUUGCCUUUGCCUUUGCUUAUAAUACUCAGUCUCUGCCUGGCUGCGACAGUAACUUCCUCCUAGUUUAAUUAUCUUAGUGUGAAGGAACAAGGCAGAGAGUCGAGACGGCCUCAACUUGAGCGGAAAAAAGGAGCCUCCAAGCCAAGGACCAAGCAACGUUGUUCAUUUCCUUCCAUAAUGUACCUCAUUCUGUACGGAUUGAAUUCUUCGAGAUCCGGCCUGAACAAGAUGAAACCCCCAUCAGCAUCAGCAUCCUCUUAAUCAGCGCAAGAUUUGAUUUUUUUUUUCUAAGGGCGGAAGAUUUGAGUUGAAUGUGUGGAGUGGAGAGUUGGUACUGCUAUAUUUAUUUACAAAAACGAUAAACCUUGAAAGAAUUGCUAGGGUUUCUCUUUUCUUUCUUUGCCAAUGACUACUAAACGCGCUUACAAGCUACAGGAAUUCGUAGCACAUUCUUCAACUGUGAAUUGCCUUAAGAUUGGCAGAAAAUCAUCCAGAGUUCUUGUCACUGGCGGAGAAGAUCACAAGGUCAAUCUCUGGGCCAUUGGGAAACCCAAUGCCAUACUGAGUUUAUCUGGACACACCAGUGGAAUUGAUUCGGUAGGCUUUGAUUCUUCAGAGGUCUUAGUAGCUGCAGGAGCUGCAAGUGGCACAAUUAAGCUUUGGGAUUUAGAGGAGGCAAAGAUUGUUCGCACACUUACUGGUCACAGAUCCAAUUGUAUAUCUGUGGACUUCCAUCCUUUCGGGGAGUUCUUUGCAUCUGGCUCGCUGGACACAAAUCUCAAAAUAUGGGAUAUCAGGAAGAAGGGGUGUAUUCACACAUACAAAGGCCAUACUCGAGGAGUCAAUGCUAUCAGAUUUACACCGGAUGGCCGUUGGGUUGUUUCUGGUGGAGAGGACAACACUGUGAAGUUGUGGGAUCUGACUGCUGGUAAGCUGCUGCAUGAUUUCAAGUGUCAUGAGGGCCAGAUUCAGUGCAUAGAUUUUCAUCCCCACGAGUUUCUGCUAGCUACAGGUUCAGCUGAUAGGACAGUCAAAUUUUGGGACCUUGAAACCUUUGAGUUAAUUGGCUCAUCUGGACCUGAGACAACUGGAGUGCGUUCUUUGACUUUUAGUCCUGACGGGAGAGCCCUACUCUGUGGAUUGCAUGAAAGUUUGAAGGUUUUCUCGUGGGAGCCAAUAAGAUGCCAUGAUGCUGUGGAUGUUGGAUGGUCUCGAUUGUCAGAUCUUAAUGUUCAUGAGGGAAAGCUUCUUGGAUGCUCAUACAAUCAGAGUUGUGUUGGAGUGUGGGUUGUAGACAUCUCGCGCAUAGAACCGUAUGCAAUUGGUAAUGCUAGCAGACUGAAUGGGCACACAGAAUCUAAACCAUUGUCUGGCGGGAAUCUGUCACUACUCAAUGAGAAUGCUGCUAAAAGUUUGGGUCGGCUAUCUGUUUCCCAAUGUUCAGAUUCUUUAGUGAAGGAAACAAAAUCUCUUGGAAGGUUAUCAGUUUCUCAAAAUUCAGAUCCCACUAAGGAGCCAAAAGUUAUUGCAUCCGCAGGAAAUGUUCCUGGUACUCCUCAAAGGAUCAAUUUGAACUCCAGUCCAAAAACUAUUGCGGCUACUUCAGCAGCAGUUCCUAGUGCAACAACCCUGAAGAGGAGUUCUACUAAGAUCAAUUCAACAGCCAAUCUUCCAAGUUUUAACAAGUCUGAUGUCAUACCUGUAAUUGUACCAAGAACUAGUAUAAGAUCAGAGUUGCCAGCUGAGUCCAGAAAAGAGGCCGGUGUUUCUGGGAGAACACUGGCAUUUUCUUUGCAGUCAAAGGCAACUGAUUUCCGGAAGUUGUCCAAUAGCAGAGAAGAAGUGGAUAAGCCAACUGUCUCUUCAGUGUCUGAUUCCGCUGCUUCUAAGGCUACUGAAUUAAGCAGUGCUGCAGAUAAGAAUGGUUUCUCAACAGUUAUAAGUUCAACCCAGGGAAUACAUACUGCUGAAAGGAACACAAAGGAUGACAGAUAUUUUGGACCUGGGAAGCAUGAGACAAGUUCAAUGAUGGAGGCAACUGCGAGCUACCAGCAUGAAAGUUAUGAAACUCGAGGGCACAAGGUGAGCAGAGAUGCAUACUCUGCUGAAGGUCAAAGAGGAGGAAGAAUGCGCUCACUUGCUGUGAAUUGGGAGAAAAGAGAUAGAUAUUCUAACUACGAGGGACCUACGCCCAAUAGUACCCUGGGAACAGCAUCUGCGGUGAACAUUCCCCCUUUGAAUGCGUUUAAGCAGCGAGGCUAUCCUACAUCUACUGAAAAAGAAUUGGGGUCUGCUAGUGAUGAGGAUGCUAUUGCAGAUCUCAUGGAAAAACAUGACCAAUUUGUUGGCUCCAUGCAAUCUCGUUCAACCAAAUUACAGGUAGUCUAUAGAUAUUGGGAAAGGAAUGAUGUUAAGGGGGUCAUUGGUGCAAUGGAGAAGAUGGCUGAUCAUGCUGUCAUUGCGGAUGUAGUUAGCAUUAUGACAGAAAAAAUUGACAUUGUCACACUGGAUAUAUGCACUUGUCUUCUGCCACUCCUCAAUGGCCUUCUAGAAAGUAACAUGGAUAGUGUUUUCCCAACCCCAAUGUGUACACAUAGAAGUAUCAUCCACUCAUUUGUUGUGGCAUGUUCUCCUUAAAUAUGACUUGCUGUGGCUAUUUGAGCUGGUCGCACUUUCGGGUUUGCAAUUGGAAAAGCUGGUGAGCUUUGUCUAUGGGAAAUCAUUCUAAUAUGUUAUUUCUUUCAACUUUAUAUGCUUUGAGCCUUUGAUAUUAUUUUAUUUUUUUGUCUCUUCUUUUAGGAGUAAUGUUGCCUGCAGAGAUUAUCCUUUUUUCUUUGUCCUUUUCUUCUAACUUAAUUUUUACUCAUAAUAUGGAAUGCCAUGUGGUUUUCUGGUGUACUGCGGAGGUUGAAUGAAACUUGUGACAUGCCAUGUGAGCAAUUGUGUUACUAGGUAGAUGUUUUGUAAGAAGUAGAAGCAGUGCUGUAUUGUUGCAUGUAAUUUCACCUAAUGGGAACAAUUGUUUAAAGAAGUGUGGAAUCAAGAAAGAAAAAGGCGGGAGGGUGGGUUGUUGGUGGCUGUGGAAGAGGGGACUCUAAUCACAAUUCUCUCCAGGGAUGGAUGUACCUGGGUGAUGUAUUUUAUGAUCCUGGAAUCUUUCAUCUGCAAAUUUUCUAAAUUUGAUAGGCAAUUAUAACAUUCCUAAGGCUAAUUGUGAAACAAAAUCUCAACCAGUACUUAUUGGAUUUUGUGCUUGGAAUCUUUCAUCUGCAAAUUUGCUGCUCAUUAUUUGAUGGACUGACCGUAUUCAGGCAUUUAGGCAUUUCUUUGGAAAUGCUGCUCAAGCUGGUUAGAGUAUUUGGUUCUGUGAUCUAUUCAACAUUAUCCGCAUCAUCAUCUGUUGGUGUUGAUAUUGAAGCCGAGCAAAGGCUGGAGCGUUGCAACAACUGUUUUAUGGAGCUUGAAAAAGUCAAAACCUGUUUGUCUGCUCUUACCAGAAGAGGAGGAUCAAUUGCAAAGUCUGCACAAGAGUUGAAUCUAGCUCUUCAGGAAGUUUCAUGACUGAAAGUGAAAGUGCAGUCUGGAGGGAGUUUGUGCAUUUUGGAGUUAUGGACCCCUCUUCUUGCCACACCUGAUGGCUGGCUAUCGACGCGACGCUCUGUGUCUCGUGGGGCCUGGCUCGGGCAUCCCCUGGUUGUACAUUAAUGCUAAGUGGAGUUAUUAACUACAAGCUUAUUCUAAACUAUUCACUAAAACGAGAGGCUAAUUGACAUGUCGGUAUACAUCCUGUCUGCACGGUUUUGGGAACUACCAAUCCAUUUCUGCUCAGCGGAGAAGAGAUACCACUCCGUUUCACACUUAACCGAAUAUGUAGCAUCAAAUUGUAUCCUUUGGUUGCAUCAGUGAUGAUUUAAUUAUUAUUUUUUAAAAUAGAUACGUUCCUAAUGUAAAAGAUUGGUGCUACUGUAACAGGUAUCCUGAAAAAAACUGCAAAUGUGAGUAAUGUCUUUAAUAUUAGAUUCUUUCAA